UACGUAGGUGACAAGCGUUGUCCGGAUUUACUGGGCGUAAAGAGCGCGCAGGCGGUCGUUCAAGUCGAGUGUGAAAGCCCCCGGCUCAACUGGGGAGGGUCACUCGAUACUGAUCGACUCGAAGGCAGGAGAGGGAAGUGGAAUUCCCGGUGUAGUGGUGAAAUGCGUAGAUAUCGGGAGGAACACCGGUGGCGAAGGCGGCAUCCUGGACCGACACUGACGCUGAGGAGCGAAAGCCAGGGGAGCAAACGGG
rnacentral:rRNA from 1 species